GUUGGAACGUGUGUGAUGUGUUGCGCGUAUAUCUGUGAAGUGCUCGUAUUUCCGUUCGAAAUUUAACACAAUUGAAAAAAAAAAUAUAAUUAAAAAUAUUUUCGUAAAUUGAAAGUGAAAGGAUCAAAGUUAAAAUAUAUGAGUGAUUUGAAGAAUCAGUCCCGAAAAAAAUAUAAAAAAAUAAAACAUAAUUAAAUUCAGUAAAAAUCGAGAGUUAUAAGAACGUGACUAAAAAAAACGUGAUAUUCAUGUAGAAUAACAAAAAGAAAACAAACAAUCCAAAGUAACAAAAAAUACAAUAACAAUAACAACAAUAACAACAACAAUAGCAAACAGAGCAACAGCUUAAAGUGUUGGUUGAAUAGAAGACCAAAACGUAAAGCCAUCCAUCGAUCGGUACUAGAAGUCAAG